CCUACGGGAGGCAGCAGUAGGGAAUCUUCCACAAUGGGCGAAAGCCUGAUGGAGCAACGCCGCGUGGGUGAAGAAGGUCUUCGGAUCGUAAAACCCUGUUGUUAGAGAAGAAAGUGCGUGAGAGUAACUGGUCACGUUUCGACGGUAUCUAACCAGAAAGCCACGGCUAACUACGGGCCAGCAGCCGCGGUAAUACGUAGGUGGCAAGCGUUAUCCGGAUUUUUUGGGCGUAAAGGGAACGCAGGCGGUCUUUUAAGUCUGAUGUGAAAGCCUUCGGCUUAACCGGAGUAGUGCAUUGGAAACUGGGAGACUUGAGUGCAGAAGAGGAGAGUGGAACUCCAUGUGUAGCGGUGAAAUGCGUUGAUAUAUGGAAGAACACCAGUGGCGAAAGCGGCUCUCUGGUCUGUAACUGACGCUGAGGUUCGAAAGCGUGGGUAGCAAACAGGAUUAGAUACCCCAGUAGUC
rnacentral:rRNA from 1 species